GAUGAACGCUGGCGGCGUGCCUAAUACAUGCAAGUCGAGCGAACAGACGAGGAGCUUGCUCCUCUGACGUUAGCGGCGGACGGGUGAGUAACACGUGGAUAACCUACCUAUAAGACUGGGAUAACUUCGGGAAACCGGAGCUAAUACCGGAUAAUAUAUUGAACCGCAUGGUUCAACAGUGAAAGACGGUUUUGCUGUCACUUAUAGAUGGAUCCGCGCCGCAUUAGCUAGUUGGUAAGGUAACGGCUUACCAAGGCAACGAUGCGUAGCCGACCUGAGAGGGUGAUCGGCCACACUGGAACUGAGACACGGUCCAGACUCCUACGGGAGGCAGCAGUAGGGAAUCUUUCGCAAUGGGCGAAAGCCUGACGGAGCAACGCCGCGUGAGUGAUGAAGGUCUUCGGAUCGUAAAACUCUGUUAUUAGGGAAGAACAAAUGUGUAAGUAACUAUGCACGUCUUGACGGUACCUAAUCAGAAAGCCACGGCUAACUACGUG
rnacentral:rRNA from 1 species